UUUGACUCUGAAGGAACCAGUGAAUUGACCACCAGGCUUCUGCAAAGUCUAGCUACAGACUUAAAAUAGCGCGCUUAUUGGGAGGCAACCCAAUUUUUCUAAACUCUUUACUUCUUUUAUUUUCAAAACAAAAAAAAAAACCAAAAAAAAAAAAUUUGUUGUUUUCUUUAUCUAGUUGUUUUUUUUUUUCUUCUUUCUAUUCCUAACACAUAAUUGACUCAAUGCAGGCCGUUUAUGACUCAAUGCNNN
rnacentral:lncRNA from 1 species